GAUUGGUGCUUGCAUCAUGAUUUACAUUUGAGUGAGUGGCGAACUGGUGAGUAACACGUGGGAAACCUGCCCAGAAGCGGGGGAUAACACCUGGAAACAGAUGCUAAUACCGCAUAACAACUUGGACCGCAUGGUCCGAGUUUGAAAGAUGGCUUCGGCUAUCACUUUUGGAUGGUCCCGCGGCGUAUUAGCUAGAUGGUGGGGUAACGGCUCACCAUGGCAAUGAUACGUAGCCGACCUGAGAGGGUAAUCGGCCACAUUGGGACUGAGACACGGCCCAAACUCCUACGGGAGGCAGCAGUAGGGAAUCUUCCACAAUGGACGAAAGUCUGAUGGAGCAACGCCGCGUGAGUGAAGAAGGGUUUCGGCUCGUAAAACUCUGUUGUUAAAGAAGAACAUAUCUGAGAGUAACUGUUCAGGUAUUGACGGUAUUUAACCAGAAAGCCACGGCUAACUACGUGCCAGCAGCCGCGGUAAUACGUAGGUGGCAAGCGUUGUCCGGAUUUAUUGGGCGUAAAGCGAGCGCAGGCGGUUUUUUAAGUCUGAUGUGAAAGCCUUCGGCUCAACCGAAGAAGUGCAUCGGAAACUGGGAAACUUGAGUGCAGAAGAGGACAGUGGAACUCCAUGUGUAGCGGUGAAAUGCGUAGAUAUAUGGAAGAACACCAGUGGCGAAGGCGGCUGUCUGGUCUGUAACUGACGCUGAGGCUCGAAAGUAUGGGUAGCAAACAGGAUUAGAUACCCUGGUAGUCCAUACCGUAAACGAUGAAUGCUAAGUGUUGGAGGGUUUCCGCCCUUCAGUGCUGCAGCUAACGCAUUAAGCAUUCCGCCUGGGGAGUACGGCCGCAAGGCUGAAACUCAAAGGAAUUGACGGGGGCCCGCACAAGCGGUGGAGCAUGUGGUUUAAUUCGAAGCUACGCGAAGAACCUUACCAGGUCUUGACAUACUAUGCAAAUCUAAGAGAUUAGACGUUCCCUUCGGGGACAUGGAUACAGGUGGUGCAUGGUUGUCGUCAGCUCGUGUCGUGAGAUGUUGGGUUAAGUCCCGCAACGAGCGCAACCCUUAUUAUCAGUUGCCAGCAUUAAGUUGGGCACUCUGGUGAGACUGCCGGUGACAAACCGGAGGAAGGUGGGGAUGACGUCAAAUCAUCAUGCCCCUUAUGACCUGGGCUACACACGUGCUACAAUGGAUGGUACAACGAGUUGCGAACUCGCGAGAGUAAGCUAAUCUCUUAAAGCCAUUCUCAGUUCGGAUUGUAGGCUGCAACUCGCCUACAUGAAGUCGGAAUCGCUAGUAAUCGCGGAUCAGCAUGCCGCGGUGAAUACGUUCCCGGGCCUUGUACACACCGCCCGUCACACCAUGAGAGUUUGUAACACCCAAAGUCGGU
rnacentral:rRNA from 1 species